AUUGAACGCUGGCGGCAGGCCUAACACAUGCAAGUCGAGCGGAGCGGCGGACGGGUGAGUAAUGCCUAGGAAUCUGCCUGGUAGUGGGGGAUAAAGUCCGGAAACGGGCGCUAAUACAGCAUACUCUCAGAUGAGCCUAGGUCGGAUUAGCUAGGUGGUGGGGUAAAGGCCUACAAAGGCGACGAUCCGUAACUGGUCUGAGAGGAUGAUCAGUCACACUGGAACUGAGACACGGUCCAGACUCCUAAGGGAGGCAGCAGUGGGGAAUAUUGCACAAUGGGCGAAAGCCUGAGGCAGCCAUGCCGCGUGUGUGAAGAAGGCCUUCGGAUUGUAAAGCACUUUAAGUUGGGAGGCGUUACCAACAGAAUAAGCACCGGCUAACUACGUGCCAGCAGCCGCGGUAAUUC
rnacentral:rRNA from 1 species